GACGAACGCUGGCGGCGUGCCUAAUGCAUGCAAGUCGAGCGACGAAUAGGGUGCGGGUAACCAAACCUAUUACGGAGCGGCGAACGGGUGAGUAACACGUGAGCAACCUGCCCCGCAGAUCGGGAGUAGCCCAGGGAAACGUUGGAUUAAUACCGGAUAUUCUCCUUUAACCACAUGAUUGUUGGAGGAAAUGCUUUUGUCGCUACGGGAGUGGGCGUCACGGCCUAUCAGCUUGUUGGGGGGUAACGGCCUACCAAGGCGACGACGGGUAGCUGGUCUGAGAGGACGGAUCAGCCACACUGGGACUGAGACACGGCCCAGACUCCUACGGGAGGCAGCAGCAGGGAAUUUGCGCAAUGGGCGAAAGCCUGACGCAGCAACGCC
rnacentral:rRNA from 1 species